CUUCCCCAUAUUGAUGGACCUUAUUGUCUUGGAAUAAUAUGCAAUAUGGCAGAAAUUGUUUAACUGGAAGAAUCUUGAGAGCAAGACCCUACCCAGUAAGAGGUCUAGAAAGAAAUAUGUCAGCGAUUAGUGAAUUGGAAAAAACAACGUUAGAAAAUAGUCAAAGUAAAACUUGAAGGGGAAAAAGAAGACUGAAAAACAGAGAAGAGGACAUCAGCACACUGUGGGAGAAAUCAAGUAGCCUCAUGUAAGUAUAAUUGGAGUGUGAAAGGAAGCUGAGAAACACUGAAGGAGGUAAGAAAAAAAUUUGAAGGGAUAAUGGCUGACAUUUC
rnacentral:lncRNA from 10 species